rnacentral:rRNA from 1 species
GACGAACGCUGGCGGCGUGCCUAAUACAUGCAAGUCGAACGCUUCUUUCCUCCCGAGUGCUUGCACUCAAUUGGAAAGAGGAGUGGCGGACGGGUGAGUAACACGUGGGUAACCUACCCAUCAGAGGGGGAUGACACUUGGAAACAGGUGCUAAUACCGCAUAACAGUUUAUGCCGCAUGGCAUAAGAGUGAAAGGCGCUUUCGGGUGUCGCUGAUGGAUGGACCCGCGGUGCAUUAGCUAGUUGGGGAGGUAACGGCUCACCAAGGCCACGAUGCAUAGCCGACCUGAGAGGGUGAUCGGCCACACUGGGACUGAGACACGGCCCAGACUCCUACGGGAGGCAGCAGUAGGGAAUCUUCGGCAAUGGACGAAAGUCUGACCGAGCAACGCCGCGUGAGUGAAGAAGGUUUUCGGAUCGUAAAACUCUGUUGUUAGAGAAGAACAAGGACGUUAGUAACUGAACGUCCCCUGACGGUAUCUAACCAGAAAGCCACGGCUAACUACGUG